UACGUAGGGGGCAAGCGUUGUCCGGAUUUAUUGGGCGUAAAGAGCGUGUAGGCGGCUAGGUAGGUCCGUUGUGAAAACUCGAGGCUCAACCUCGAGACGCCGAUGGAAACCAUCUGGCUAGAGUCCGGAAGAGGAGAGUGGAAUUCCUGGUGUAGCGGUGAAAUGCGCAGAUAUCAGGAAGAACACCUAUGGCGAAGGCAGCACUCUGGGACGGUACUGACGCUGAGACGCGAAAGCGUGGGGAGCGAACAGG
rnacentral:rRNA from 1 species